AAGCUUUUCUCUCCAGAAAGCACAGUUAAAGUCCUGGCAGACCAUGCAAAAAGAAUCUGUGAACCCCACCUCCUCCAAGGUGAACUUAACCACCUAAACUGGGCCCUACAGGCCAAUGAAGACUCCACCACAGACAUCAGAAGAGCUACAAGGCCAAGAACAAGCCAGGAAAGUAAAGACAAAGAUCCACCCAGAGGAAAAGUGUUCUUACCAUACAUCAGGGGAACCACUGACCGCAUAGGAAAGCUGAUGAAAAAACACAACAUACAAAUAUCAACAGACCCACUAAGAAAAUCCAACAAAUGCUACGUUCAGUGAAGAACAAGAGGGAUCCUCUCACCUCUGCAGGAGUCUACCAUAAACUAUGGAGCUAUGGAUAACUUUACAUAGGGACCACCAAACGCAGUGCCCAAACACGAAUCAAGGAACAUGAAAGGCACUGCAGACUAACUCAACCAGAGAAGUCAGAACAUAGCAGAGCACUUGAUGAUCCAACCUGGACACAGCAUAUAAUUUGAGAACACAGAAAUGCUGGACUACUCUCACAACCAGCAUGUCGGACUACACAGAGAAGUGAUUGUUUCUUGUCUGGUCUUCCCCUGUUUUUUUAGUGUUGUUCUUUAUUGACUGCCCUGAUUUUAGAGUUUUUUAAUACUGGUAACCAGAUUUUGUUCAGUUCCAUGGUUUCCUCCUUUCUGUUGAAAUUGUCCACAUGCUUGUGGAUUUCAGUGGCUUCUCUGUGUAGUCUGACAUAGUGGUUGUUAGAGUGGUCCAUACAGAGUGGUCCAACAUGAUGAUGUUGUUGUUGAUCAUUUUAUAUGUUGAUGUGUUGUAUGGCAUCAUUGUGUGCUAUUUGUAAGCUGCCUGAGUCUCUCUGGGAGAUGGUGGUGGAGUAUAAAUAAAGUAGUAGUAGUAGUAGUAGUUAUUAUUAUUUUUAUUGAUAAUGAUUAUGAUCUUUUUUGUUGAAAAUAGCAACCUCCAAAGCCUUUCUCUCUUUAUUAAUGUAUAUAUUUGCUAACCUGUAUUCUAUGUGUAUGUUGAUUUGCCAGUUUAACUGUACCUCUUUGGUGAAGGACUAUAGAUGUGUGAUUGCACAGAGCAUGUGCAGACUUAGGACUCCAUUUUGUAUUAAGUCUUCUUAACACCUCACUGGAGGUGGAUGUUUCUGCUCAACACCUCAGUGGAGGUGGAUGCAUGUUGCUGUUUGGAAUUUAGUAGAAAAAUAUGACUUAUGGACUUCAGUGAGUACAACUAUACCUAAAGACUAUGGACAAUUGAUUAAGAAUGAUACCCUGUGUACUCAACACAGAGAGAAGCUACACCCUAUCUAUAUCUGAACUUUAAUAAGUAAUGUGCCUGUAUGGUGAAUUAAUACAAGAUGUUUGUGAGUAAACAAGAUAUGUUAUCUUUCAAAGAAGACUUUAUUUUUUGAUCUUUGAGUGCAUUGGGAAAUUACAAUUUCAACUUCAAAGAAACAACCACCCUUUGCUAACCAAAUAUAUGUUUGUAGUUCAAAGACAUUGGCAGUUCAAAGACAUGGCUCUUCAGUCUAACAGCCAAGUUACCUGUAUGCCAUUACAUGAAUGUUUGUGAACAUCACUUGAAAGGGAGGUAGGAUCGAGAGGAGGGCCUCCCCAGCAGAUCUUAGAGCCCAGAUCCCCAGCAGAUCUUAGAGUCUCUGGGUAUGUGCC
ensembl:lncRNA